ACUCGCGCCCUGACGUCAAUGACUCGCGCCCUGACGUCAAUGACUCGCGCCCUGACGUCGCUCGGUCAGGUUUUUGAGUUGGAGUGAAAAGAUUCCUGUGGACGAUUCCAACGACUUCCGGCAGAUUCCAGCAGAUGGCGAGCUACUCGGUUUGACUACAGGAAACAGGAUCUACACUUUCUCGGAAAUAGCAGACAAACAGUCUGCUUGUGGUAGGAUUGUGUCAGUCACCUGUGGCGGCACCAACUCCAACACACGUUACAAACAGUGCACUAGGUGAUAGGUUUUUAUCAAUAUCAAUGCCAUUGUCAAUUCUGCCUAUCAAUCCAAUUCCUUAUCAAUUCUCUUAUCAAUUCUCUUAUCGAUUCCUGAGUAGAAAAAAGGACCUCGUCACAGUCUUCUGCACCAAAAGCAACCAUUUUAUUUUAUACACAAGACUGAACAUACUGAACAACACCAUGACAAGAUUUGGUGUAGAAAGAAAAUCUAGUCUAAAUACAAUAAAUAAAAAACAGGAACAGAAAUGUAAUACUUGCUAAAUGCUUACAUGCUAAAUGACAGCUUAGUGCUGCUUUUGUUAAAAGGGACAUUUUAAAUGAAGUAACAGUGGACGUACUCUUUAAGUCCUCUUUAGAACAAUAGUCACAAUAACAGUGUUCAUGUAACUUAGUGAAAGCUGAGAAACCAGAUUUCACUCAAAUGAUUUCUUAACACUCCUUUACUAAAAAGAGAUAAACAAUGUAAAUGAAAGAGUGAACAUAAACAAGCACAUGACAUUCUUGGUACGUCAUGUCAUGCUGGGUUGACAAAGGUUUCAACAUGUUAAACGAUAUUAACCAUAGAUUUUCUGCCUGUUUGGUGAAACGGAGCCAGACUUUGGAUCUCUUUCUCCUCUCCGUGACGCUUCCUCGUGUGGUGUGAAGAUCCCACUCGUCACAGAGUGUGAUGUCAAUGUACCGCCAAUUUCAGGGAAACCGGGGAAAAAACGUCGUGCAGUGAAAUGAGAGAAUCGUGAAGAACAAUCGAUAACGUUGGAGCUGUACAAUUCCGAUGCAAUCGGUCAGUUGGAACCGGUUCUCGAUUCCCAUCCCUAACUCCAACGAUCCUUUAGACGCGUGGAUUCUCGACCUUUGAACUCAGACAGAUCAGAACUCCUCUGAUUGGAAAUAACUUGACUUUGACUGACUUUGGUUGAACUGAGAGACGAGUAAAUAAGACAUUUAAAUGUUUUAUUUUCUAUGCAAAUGUUUACUUCUUUGUAUGUUGCAUAAUGUUCUGUUGCAAACUAAAAUGCAGAAUGCAGUUAA